UACUGGGUUUGAAACUUGCCAUGAAGCAGCCUCACUGCCACCAUGCCAACAGAAACAGAGCCAACAAGAACAAGAGAGAAGUAUCAGCUUGGUUGGGGGAACCCCAAAGCUUGCAGAAGUACCGUGGAAAUACAUUAUUUUGUUAACUUAUAUAUUCAGAACAUUCACGUGCUGCCUUCAAAUCUCGAAAGUCUGCUGGGCGUCAACUAGGAGUUGAGCAUUUCGUGUCACCAAUCCCAACACUGUGGAAUAUUUUUCCAGCAGAGAUUUGGCAGGCAUCUUUGCUGCUAACUUUCUCAUAGCCUUUUUCAUACUGACAGGCCUAUUCAGUUGCUUAUUUGUUGCCAUCACCACCCAAGAUGAGCCAGUCAUUUAUAUAUAUGAUUAUUUUUUCCUUCUUCUUAUGCUAUCUUAUGCAUUACUGUAUUUGUAGAUAUUGUUGUACACCACACUGGUAUUUUACCAGAGUGGGCAAUGUGUGUGUAUGUGUGAAAACAAAAGAGACAGGUUUUAAAACUCCAAAAGGGGGCAUUCUUCCACAGAAAGCCUGAUGGAGGAUCAAACAUGAACAGUGGUUGAUGUGUGUUCUUAGUUGCCAGUGAGAUACUUGAUGUAUUGAGUAGCACUCUGCUCACCUGCAGUUCCCAGCAACUGGAAUUCAAAGGUGUAAUGGGGAGAGGAGGGGAAGAGCAAAUUGUCCUUCUUGAACCCUUUCCUGCUCACUGUGUCCUGGAGGAGAGCCACCUGGCUUGCUGAACAAGAGCACCUCCAUUAGGGGGUGGGGUUACACUGCAGCAUGGGCAGCGGGUGGCGCUGUGGUCUGAACCACUGAGCCUCUGGGGCUUGCUGAUUGGAAGGUCGGUGGUUUGAAUCCCUAUGAUGGGGUGAGCUCCCGUUGCUCUGUCCCAGCUCCUGCCAACCUAGCAGUUCAAAAGCACGCCAGUGCAAGUAGAUAAAUAGGUACUGCUGUGACAGGAAGGUAAACUGCAUCUAUGUGCGCUCUGGUUUCUGUCACGGUGCUCCGUUGUGCCAGAAGCGGUUUAGUCAUGCUGGUCACAUGACCCGGAAAUCUGUCUGUGGACAAAGGUCGGCUCCCUCGGCCUGAAGUGAGAAGAGUGUUGCAACCUCAUAGUCACCUUUGACUGGACUUAACUGUCCAGGGGUCCUUUACCUUACCUUAUACUGCAGCCUUUCCUUGCAAGGGCCACCAGUAUGCCAUAUAACUUUGAUGUUCACGACACACACUGUGGAUUAAUAUACUUCACUAAAAGUUGAGAUGGUAUAAUUUUGAAACAAAACCAUUUCAGCACAUCAGUAGUCAAAACAGUUCAUUGCACUGGUGAUAUAUUUAGACCUUAAAUAGGCAAAAGUUAUUAAUUUUCCCUUAUUUAAAUCUGAAGUGGUUUUUCAUGACAUAACUAUGACUCACUCUCAUAAGCCCUCGGUGGGAGGAUGUGUUUGGAAUAAAAACAAAAAUCCACAGGGACUUUUGUUACAAAUAUUAUAAAAUAUUGUGAGUCAUUUAUAUUCAGAAGCAGAGUUGAGCCUUAUGCUCCCCAGUUCGAAGGCAUGCCUUACAACAAGGCUUUGAAAAUGUUAAACAAGAACAAAACGUAAGAGGAAAGUUCAGAUUUAACUGUGAGCUUUUCAGAGCAGGGACCUGUGCUACUUUGUAAGGUACUGAAUACAUUGAAAGUGCAUCCUUCUGCUUCUUCAGUAUUUUUAAUUAUUAUUAUUAAAAAAUAAUAAUUAAAACAUCCUGAAAGCAAACUUCUGACUUGGUUUUUCAUAGUAAAAAAUUCAAGGUAUGCAAAGUAACAGGUUGUGUUAACAUGUCUCUUUUCUUUGGCAAUCACUUGUGGCCAAGUAAUCUUGUUUUCCACAAACACGGUUUUAACAGUGAGUCCGUAAGUGACUGUGGAAGCCAGUUCUGGAUCCAUACAUCCUUCCACAGUGGGGACAUAGGUUUUUGGGCCAGAGUUUAUCAUGGUGAGGGUUUGCCAAACGUGCCUUCCUCUUAGCACUUUUCUCCCUUUGGUCCUGAGUUUAAGCGUCUUCAAAGUCCUUGACACCUUUGGUAAAGCCUGUUCUCCAAUUGGAGCACUCGCAGGCCAGUGUUUCCCAGUUAUCAGUGCUUAUACUACAUUUUUUUAUAUUUGCCUUAAGAAGAUUUUUAAACCUGUUUUGUUGACCACUGGUAUUUUGCUUUCCAUUCUUAAGCUGGGAAUGAAGUUGUUGAUUUGGAAGACGAUAAUCAGGCAUCCAAACAACAUAACUAGUCCAACAAAGUUGAUGUUGAAGAAUCAUUGCUUCAACACUGGUAAUCUUUGCUUCUUCCAGUACACUGGCAUUAGUUCAUCUGUCUUCCCAAGUGAUGUGUAACAUUUUUCGGAGACACCGUUAGUGGAAUCUUUCGAGGAGCUGGAGAUGGCGUUUAUAAGUGGUCCAUGUUCCACAAGCAUACAGUAAGGUUGGGAGUACAAUAGCUUUGUAAACAAGCAUUUUGGUUUCCCUGCAAAUGUCUCCAUCCUCAAACAUUCUGUAGUUCAAUUGGGAGAAAGCUGCACUCUCAGAGCUCAGGUGAUGCUGGAUUUCGGCAUCAAUGUCAGCCCUUGUGGAAAGAUAACUGCCCAGGUAGGAGAAGUCAUCAACAAUUUCCAAUGUUACACCAUUGAGUUGAAAUUGUGGCACUGCAGAGGGGUUGUUUUGUGCUUGUUGGUGCAGCACUUUGGUUUUCUGGAUGUUGAGUGAUAGGCCAAGUUUUUUAGAUGCUUCAAAGAUAUUUAGGAUGGUUUGGAGGUUAUCCUUUGAGUGUGCACACACUAUGUUGUCAUCAGCAUACUGAAGCUCUAGGUCUAGAGUGAUAUUUACCUAGUGUAUAGUUUUGUGGGGUUUUUUGAGACACAGGACCAGAAAUAUUUAAACCUAUACUAUAUAAUUGGCUUCUACACUAUCUGACUUUGAAAAAAAGCAUAGUAAAAUUUAUUCAAAAAAGUUGAUUUCAUUGUGGGGGAACUUAUUUAUUGCUAUGAGGUUAUCAAAACUCAAGACCUCCCAAAAUUUCAGCACCUCUUGCUAUGGUUUGACCCCUUUCCAUUUUAACCGUACAAAUUCUACAAAUACCUUCCAUAUUUCCUCAGAAUAAUUUCUCCUGCAUAUUCCCUGUCUUACCUUAAUGGCACAUGUUAAUUUAUCAUUAAUAGCUAUAUUCCACACCUCUUCAUACCAUUAUUCCAUUUUAUAUUCACCUUGCCCCUUCCACCUCCUAGCUAUAAUAACUUGUGCAGCUCUCAAUAAAUCUGUGAGCACUUUCCUCUCUUGUGGUUUCUAGAAACUAGUAUUCAGAAGUACUAUGGAGGCAGAGCAGUAGCUAUCAUGGCUAGCAGCUUUCCUUAGGGUUGGGAGGCCACCCAGAGCAGAUUCAGGGUCGGGGGGGGGGGCAACAGAGAGGAGGUGAGGAAGGGGAAGCCCCAUGAUGCAGGUGGAAGUCUGCUCAUGUGACAUUGAUUUUCACCCAAUGCAUUCACUUGAGCAGCUUUUUCAGCCUUUUCACCAUCCUUUUUAGAAUAAGCACCCUUGCUUGAAUAUAAGAUAGAAUUUGAUGCAUCCCUAGAAAAAUCCAACUAAGCCUUGUUUGAAAUAUUAUUGGUACAAGAAAGGAUGUAUGUUAUUUAAUGGUGAUCAGCAACCACAAAUACACUGGGUUACACACACACACACACACACACACACACACACACACACACUGCUUCACAUUGCACUUAAGAGUAGCCAUUUUUCAGCUGGUGUGAGAGCAUUUCAGAAAAGUACUGUUUCAUACUCACUCUGCUUAGUUUGUACUGUUAAGAUACAUAAUUACUUGUUUAGGGUAUUGGGCAACAUUUAUAUUGGUGAAUUACAAGAAGAAAUCAAAUGUGUUGAAGAACGACAAGGGGACUCCAUCUAUGAGUUCUUGCAGCAUUGAAGGAUGAAAGUGGCAGAAAUAUCCCUAACAAGAUAGCUUACUGACACUGCUGUGGCGAUACAAUCAGAUGUGAAUGAUAAACGUAUGUGUUCCAUGAUUACAGGGCAAUACAGAAUGCCGGAUUCUAUCUGCAUAAGUCAUUUGGUGUUCAUAUACAGGUUAUGCAAUGGAUUCUAGCAAUCCAGAAUAUUACAUGUUCUGCUGUCAGUAUAUUUACUGUUUCUUGCUUAAUAAGACUGGUGUUCCUUUGUCUGUUAUUGCUAGCAUUUUUUUAAAAAAAGAUUUCUGGAGCUGAUAUGUCAAGGUCUUGAUGCACUGUUGCUUUUGCGACUUCAUCUACUUCAUAGCUCUAUAUGUCUUUUUGUACUUAUUUACAUUUGGUAGGGAAGUGAAACAUUGUAUAUGGUUUUUAUUGACUGUCUACCAGACAACUAAUUUUGUUAUUUCAGACUCUUGUCUUGCUUUGUAGUUUGCUAAAAUGUGGCUUCUGGCUACUGAACUCUGUAGCCAACAGAAACAACAGCGUAUUUUGUAGCACCCUAAAUAUUAGCAAAUACAUUGUGCCGUACGUUUUUGUGGUCCAAGGCCCACUACAUUAGUUGCAUUAAAUGGUCACUUUUGGCUAGAUAUAUAUUCCCUGCAUACAGAGAGGAGGGAUAUUUAUUCAUGAUUUUAGGGGAGGAAACCCUCAGUAACGGGAGAGAUUGCAGCAUCAAAUUACUAUAUGGACCGUCAUUCUCUCUGUAUGCAGAGUAUACUCACCACUUACUUAUUUUUAUUUAUUUCAUUAAAUUUAUACACAGUUUGAUUGUAAAAAACUAAUUUCAAAGCGUUUACC